rnacentral:SRP_RNA from 1 species
ACCAGGUGUUGUAGUGCAUACCCGUAGCCCCAACUACUGAGGAGGCUGAGGUGGGAGGAUCGCUUGAACCUAGGAGUUCUGGGCUAUAGCUCUCUAUGCCAGUCAGGUGUUCACACUAAGUUCAGCAUCAAUGUGGUAACCUCCAGAAAGCAGGGAACAACCAGGUUGCCUAAGGAGGGAUGAGCUGGUCCAGGUCAGAAAUGGAGCAGGUCAAAACUCCUGAUCACACCUGUGAUUGCACCUGUGAAUAGCUGCUGCACUCUAGCCUGGACAACACAGCAAGACCCUGACUCU